AGGACAUAAUAGGAUACUUGAAGGUCUCAGCACUGUGUUGGCCGCAAAUUCAUCGGAAAUAAAGCACUUCCAAGUUUCGCGUGCAAAGUCGGAUGGGGAAAGCACUGGUAUUAAGCGCGGGAAAUUAUGUUCGUCCGCCACCACUCGAUGGCACCGGAAAAUAUGGUAGCGGCGGCCGCCCGUGAUCCCCCUUUGUUCCCGCCCGCCAGAGUCAAAAGAUAAGAAAAUAACAAAUUCAACGAGUGAUUACAAUUACUCGUUACAAUGAGGUGAAGCACUAUAGUCAUAAAAAUUUUAUUAAUGCAAAUUGUAAACACAUUCUGUAUCGAUCAACUGCAUCCAACCAUUUGUCAAAAUAAUUUUCAAUUCGCUGUGUGGCAGCGCCCAGUACAAUUAUUUAUGCCUGUAUUUCAAUCCUUUUUCAAUAAAAUGUAAGGUGCGCGACGAA